rnacentral:rRNA from 1 species
UACGAACUGUGCAAACGUUAUUCGGAUUCACUGGGCUUAAAGGGUGCGUAGGCGGCUAUCUAAGUAGGGUGUGAAAGCCCCCGGCUCAACCGGGGAAUUGCGCUCUAAACUGGAUGGCUUGAGUGAGACAGGGGUGUGCGGAACUUCCGGUGGAGCGGUGAAAUGUGUUGAUAUCGGAAGGAACGCCGGUGGCGAAAGCGGCACACUGGGUCUCAACUGACGCUGAGGCACGAAAGCCAGGGGAGCGAACGGG